rnacentral:misc_RNA from 1 species
UCUAUUGGUUACAAAAAUAAAAUUAUAAAGUCAGGUGUAAUGGGUCAAAAUAAAAAUUCAGGGGUGCACUAGACGCUAAUUUAUGUAUUUAACCAUUCAAAUAGUGUUUUUCCAAUCUGUGUUUCCUUCUCAUCCAUAUCAACAGAGCAGGGAAUGAAAGCUAAUCAAUUUGAAUAUCUGAUCUCUAGCCUUCAGUCCCCUUCUCGAUUCUUUUCCUUAUCCUCAGUCCCUCUGUGCCUCACUCAUUACUCGUCACUCACCUAGCCAUCACCUUUCGGCCUCCAGAACUUCCCAUUUGCCUAUUUCACUUGUUAGUUAUCCCCAUUCCCUGCUGCCUCACUAGACCUUGCAUAGGCCGUUGUUAAAGCUCUCAAGGCAACCUUGCAUCAGCUGUCGUGUUAAAGCUCUCAAUAUAAUGUCACCAAUCCUCUCUUGAUCUGAGCAAUCUGACUCUGCAUCUGCAUCAGUUGCUUGUCGCGAUUACUACUGGCUUCAGCUUGUGUCCUAGUUCUCGUUUCUCUCACAUGGUUCUUAAUUUAGGGUUUUGAAAGUUGGUGAACGACGGAUUGUAACUUUAUUUGACAAAUUUUGAUGCAAAUAGGAUGCAAUCGGUUUAGGAAAUAAAGUUCAUUUGGGAAAUGGAUUGUUGUAAAUGGUAGCCGGAAUUUUUGUUCUAUGUUAAUUAUUUCAUAAUUUAGAUUAACG